UACAGAGGUCUCAAGCGUUGUUCGGAUUCAUUGGGCGUAAAGGGUGCGUAGGCGGCGCGGUAAGUCGGGUGUGAAAUCUCGGAGCUUAACUCCGAAACUGCAUUCGAUACUGCCGUGCUUGAGGACUGGAGAGGAGACUGGAAUUUACGGUGUAGCGGUGAAAUGCGUAGAUAUCGUAAGGAAGACCAGUGGCGAAGGCGACGUACCUGGCUUGUUUCUUGACGCUGAGGCGCGAAAGCUAGGGGAGCAAACGGG
rnacentral:rRNA from 1 species